rnacentral:rRNA from 1 species
AUUGAACGCUGGCGGCAGGCCUAACACAUGCAAGUCGAACGAGUGGCGGACGGGUGAGUAAUGUCUGGGAAACUGCCUGAUGGAGGGGGAUAACUACUGGAAACGGUAGCUAAUACCGCAUACCAUCGGAUGUGCCCAGAUGGGAUUAGCUAGUAGGUGGGGUAAAGGCUCACCUAGGCGACGAUCCCUAGCUGGUCUGAGAGGAGGACCAGCCACACUGUAACUGGUACACGGUCCAUACGCCUACGGUAGGCAGCAGUGGGGAAUCAUGCACAAUGGGCUCAAGCCUGAUGCAGCCAGGCCGCGUGUAUUAAGAAGGCCUUCGGGUUGUAAAGUACGUUCAGCGAGGAGGCGUUACCCGGAGAAGAAGCACCGGCUAACUCCGUGCCAGCAGCCGCGGUAAUAC